GGCCCGAUCUCUCCCAUGUCCACUGUUCAAGGAGCAGGACCCUGGCAGAGCUGAGGCCUUGGCCAUGUGGUCUCGUGGGAGAUAGAGCCACAUUCUCCUCGUGUAAGCCUCCGUGCAUCAGAGAAAGUGCCAAAGAGGAAAGAGAGAAUGGUUAGCAACUCAGGACAGGACCCAGAGGCUGCAGGACUGGGAGACAUCAGCCCAGCGACCCACUGUUCAAAGAGUGGGGCCCAGGGGCCCUUUACAUCUCCCCAGUGCCCAGCUGCCACACACGGUCUGCAGAGAAUAGGCCAGAGCCUCGGGGGAAAGGAUGAGGUUCUUGGAGGAGAAAGGGCAGUGUGGGCCAUGGCUGAUGUAUCCGUCUGCUCUAAUCUCCAUCACAAAAUGCCACACACUGGAGCUGCAGCAUUUUCUCACAGCUCUGGAGGCUGGAAGCCAAAGAUCAAGGUGCUGGCAGGGUUGGUUUCUGGGGAGGCCUCUCCCUUCUUGUCCUCACACGGCCUUUCCUCCCUGUGUGCAAGGAGAGUGAUCCCUGGAGUCUUUUCCUUGUAGAAGGAUGCCCGUCCUAUUGGAUUAGGCCCCUAUUCUUAUGACCCCCUGAAAGUCUCUGUCUCCAGACAGUCACAUUGGGGGCAAGGGCUUUAUCAUAUGAAUUUGGAGACCCAAGUCAGUCCACUGCCACCCCGAAGCUGUCCCAGCCAGGACAGACUGGUUGUGCCUCCCAGAAAGUCUCCAACAGUCACCUGGCUCCCAUCCUCAGACACUGGCCUGGCCUUCUCGUCCCCCCAUAUGGGCUGCUUGGACCACUAGCCAGUCCAGCCACCCCCACUGCUGGCCCCUGAGCUGCCAUCACCACUGGAUUCUGUGACAUGCUCAUACAGGAACUUGGGUCCAGGGCUGCUGCCUCCAGUACCCAGGGCUGCCCAGUGCCCCUUCAUUUUUGCAAACAGCUGAACUCCUCCUCCUGCUGGGGCCAGGCACAGUCUGGAUGGGGGAGGAAAUGGGUGCACAGGUGGGCAGGAUGGGCAGAGAAGUCUCCCUGGGGCAGGGACUCCGGCUCUGGGCAGCUGUGAGUGUGAAGAGUGUAUCCACACCAAGGCUCAGGGCGGGAGUCCGCGGAAGCAUCGUGGAGGACCCAGGAAGGCAGGGGAAGCCUGCGAGGGUCUGCCCCCAGGCUCAGGCAGGCAGGAGGAGAGGCCAGAACGGGUAUAUGGCUGCCAGGAGUGGAGAGAUGGCAGAGAUGCUGGAAAAGCCCUAAUCCAUGGGGCAGGAGGUGGAGUUCUGCUGAUCCAUUCAUGCAGUUCUGAAGUCUUGGGGAUCUUGGUGCUGCCAUCUGUCAAGUGGGGCCAUUAGACCCAGCAUUCCUGGAAUGGCAUCCUGGAACUUCCCAUAUCAGAGUUAGUGGGUGCACAUUCAGAGCAGCCAGAUCCUGGGCUGCACCUCAGACCUACUGAAUCAGCCUCCAGAGGCGGGACCCAGAUAGCUGUGUGUUUACCUGAGACCCCAGCUGAUCACUGAUGUUUGAGGACGCUGGGCUCCAGAUGGUGUGUAAAGUCUCUUCCAGCUCUGAGGUCUGGACUGUGAUUUCAGACUUGGGACUCUCAGGCCGACAUUUCCUGGAGGCUGGUAAAGAUCAUCAAAUGACUGAUCUCCCAGGUUCCGAAGAGUGAACAGGAACAUCCCUCCACAAAGCCAUAAAUUCUGUAAAAAAAAAAAAAAAAAAAAAA
ensembl:lncRNA